AAUUCUUCAGUAAAGAUGUAAGCAUGAUCCCACCAUGUAGCAGCAAACCUCUCAACAGUGUUUUUGAAGAAUUCUGGACAAAGGAAAGAAUUCAAUCAGAUCCUGGAAAAUGAAGCUGUCAAAUCACCUAUAGACAAUCCCUUUAUUGCCUUUUGAGUAAGUAUGUGUUGGAGUUACCAGGAUAAGAGAUUUGGAUUAUAUCUGUAUGUCCUGAUUAAUAAACCAUCAAGGCUUAUGACUGUAAUCCAAAAGAAAAAUAAACUGCAUUAUUUGUUAAAUCUC